rnacentral:lncRNA from 1 species
AUGCAUCACUGUAAGCGAUACCGCUCCCCUGAGCCAGACCCCUACCUGAGCUACCGAUGGAAGAGGAGGAGGUCUUACAGUCGGGACCACGAAGGGAGACUGCGGUACCCGUCUCGAAGGGAGCCUCCGCCCCGGAGAUCUCGGUCCCGAAGCCACGACCGCCUGCCCUACCAGAGGAGGUUACCACAGGGAGCGCCGUGACAGCGACACGUACCGGUGUGAAGAGCGGAGCCCGUCCUUCGGCGAGGACUGCUAUGGGUCUUCACGUUUCCCACCACCGCCGGCGUCGUCGCGGGAGAGGGAGCCGUACCGGGCCCGCAAGCACGCCCACCACUGCCACAAACGCCGCACCAGGUCUUGUAGCAGCGCCUCUCGGUGAGUGGUGGCCAGAGUGUGCUGGCUGGGGCUUCAAGGUCCCAUCUCUUUCUAGCCUUCUCUCAGGCUGGCUGGUCUGGGUGAGUACUGCCAGCCCCGCGCACGCGCAUUGCGUGUGCGUGCGUGUGUGUGCGUGUGUGUGUCUGUGUCGUCUGGUCCAGGUGCAGGGCUGAGCGGGGGGGGGGCCCGGCCCCUCCGACUUCUGGCCGUUGGCGGCGGCAGUGAGAGGGGCUCUGGUUCCGGCGCCGGCUGGCCCCCCGGCCUGUCUGCGUCUCCACGCUGCUCCGGGCCCCGGGCCAUGUGGUGCGCGUGGCCGGGGACACUUAGGGAACCUGAUAGGGUUGCUGGUAUGUGGUCUGGAGCUGCGUGGCCAGGUCCCUCCCGCCCGGAGAUGGCCCGCAGCCACAGCCGCAGCCAUGGGCACUGGCUGGAGUGCACACGGGUAGGGGAGGCCUGUCAGUCAGCUCAGGCCGGGAGCUUCCCUCUUCGACCUCUGACCUCCAGCCAGGCCCUCUGCAGCCUCGCCUCUUCCCAUGAGGGGCAGUCAAGACAAGGGGGUCAGGCCGCCCGUGUGCCGGGGCGCGUGGACGGAUGGCAGGAAGGCCCGCAGCCCCAGGCCUUGUCUGGUUGCCGGCCACACGCCGGGAGCGGGGCCUGGCCGUGUCGGGAGCGUGGAGGUGGUCUGGAUCUCUGCCGCGCUGCACUC